GAGAGCACAGUGAUGGAUUUAUGGUAGGCCCAUCCACGUGGGCCUUCUACAGUGUGCCACACAAGAGCAAAGUGCACCGCACACCAUUGCCUGGCCUCUGCUGUGGGCUGAGAGCACUGAAGGGGGCAGCACAGUG
ensembl:snoRNA